GGGCCCGUAGCUUAGCAGUAGAGCGUCGCCCUUGCAUGUAUUUCGAGCUAAUAACUCAUAAUACCAGAAGUAAGGCGGAGGUCUCGGGUUCGAAUUUGUUGGCAGAAAUGCUAGCUAAGAAAUUCCCGACGGGUCCA
rnacentral:tRNA from 1 species